GGACUACAGGGGUAUCUAAUCCCGUUCGCUCCCCUGGCCUUCGCCCCCGAGCGUCAGGUGCCUCCCAGGACACUGCCUUCGCCUUUGGUGUUCCUCCGGAUCUCUACGCAUUUCACCGCUCCACCCGGACUUCCAUGUCCCUCUGAGGCCCUCCAGUCUGGCCGUCUUGUGAGGCCUUCGGCGGUUAAGCCGCCGACUGUCCCUCCCAACGCGCCAGACCGCCUGCGGGCGCUUUACGCCCAGUAACUCCGGACAACGCUCGCCCCCUACGUCUUACCGCGGCGGCUGGCAC
rnacentral:rRNA from 1 species